UACGUAGGGGGCAAGCGUUAUCCGGAUUUACUGGGUGUAAAGGGAGCGUAGGCGGUCAGACAAGUCAGAAGUGAAAGCCCGGGGCUCAACUCCGGGACUGCUUUUGAAACUGCCGGACUAGAUUGCAGGAGAGGUAAGUGGAAUUCCUAGUGUAGCGGUGAAAUGCGUAGAUAUUAGGAGGAACACCAGUGGCGAAGGCGGCUUACUGGACUGUAAAUGACGCUGAGGCUCGAAAGCGUGGGGAGCAAACAGG
rnacentral:rRNA from 1 species